rnacentral:rRNA from 1 species
UGGGGAAUUUUGCACAAUGGGGGAAACCCUGAUGCAGCGACGCCGCGUGAUUUAGAAGGCCUUCGGGUUGUAAAAAUCUUUUCUAUGGGAAGAAAAUGACAGUACCAUAGGAAUAAGGACCGGCUAAUUACGUGCCAGCAGCCGCGGUAAUACGUAAGGUCCGAGCGUUGUCCGGAAUCAUUGGGCGUAAAGGGUACGUAGGCGGGUAAGCAAGUUAGAAGUGAAAUCCUAUAGCUCAACUAUAGUAAGCUUUUAAAACUGCUCAUCUUGAAGUAUGGAAGGGAAAGUGGAAUUCCUAGUGUAGCGGUGAAAUGCGCAAAUAUUAGGAGGAAUACCGGUGGCGAAGGCGACUUUCUGGCCAUAACCUGACGCUGAGGUACGAAAGCGUGGGUAGCAAACAGG